UCUUUUCUACUGAUCUUAGUCCUUGCUUUCCUCCAAGUCCUCCUGAAAGUUCUUUCUGGAAGCCUCCUCAGGAGGACUGAUGCUCGAGAACCUAAUUCACUGCUGGCUUCAGGAAACAUUGCUGCCGGUUGCAUUUGCCUUUGCCCUGCACGAAAUACCAGUCAAGGGCACUGCGGAGCUUCUCUCUUCUCUGCCUCUAAGACAGAUCCUCAGAUCUUCACUUUUGCAGAAUCUCAUGGGGGAGAAAAGGCACAGAUUAUAAACAGCUUGAUUUCUGAAUGUCUUUUCUGCUUGACUUCCUUGGACUCACUUUUGUUUAUUUUAGGUCCUGAGAACAUCGGUAAGAGCUCAUAUGAUUCUCUGAGAUUCAGCUCAAGUUUCCUGUAUGAGUCAAAACAAACUCAGUGUUUAAACAGUUAUUGGAGCCUGGAACAUUUACAGAACAUACAUUAUACACAAAAAUUCUAGUGGUUGUCAUGGGAGUGACACCAGUGUGAGCAAGAGGAGUUUCUAGCUUCUGUCCUUCUAGAGUUAAGGCAGGGGGUAGAUUAUUAAUGUUACAGAGGAGGGAGAGAUAAAUACAACCAGCACCAUUGUGAAUUCUCCCAAAUACUUCUUAAUAACAUCCACUUAACAUCUACUCACAAUUCACAUUCAUCAUUACUGCUCAUACCAUGGUUCAUUUUUUGUUCCUAGCUGGUCUCCCAGCUUCAGACUCCCACAUCCUCUCCUACCCCAGCCAGAAGGAUUUGUUAAAAAUAAAGUUGUAUCGUGUCUAUUGUGCUAUGAUCUUCUUUCAGAAGCUUUUUAUGUCUACCUAUCAUUCUUAGAAUAAUACUCAAGCUCCUUACCCUGCCUUGCUAGGUCUUUCAGAAUUAGCUUCCCUAACAUCAUGUUUUUAUUUUUUUCUUUUCUGUGAAUAUUUAUUGACAUCUAAUGGACACCAGGAAAUACUCUUAAGUGCUACAUAUAAUCAUGGGCCCCUAAAUUUGAGGCCUCUUGCUUUGAGGAAUUGAAACAAUAAAUAAACAAAAGAUUAACAUAAUUUCAGCAAGAGUUGUGUCUGUAAAAAAGAAUUUGAAAACCUUGAAAAGUCAAAAAUUGCUCAAGGUUAGUUGUCAAGUCAGGUGUAGAUAUGACACACAAAAAAUUUGGGGGAAAACACUAAAAAUCCUAUCUAUCUGCCUUUAGAUUACGUCAGAAUUGUUUUUAAGUUUUGUCUCUAUCUCAAGCAAAUCUAAACUAGAAAUUGCUCAUGAUGUAUUACAGGUAUGAUUUCUACAACAGAGAAACGAGAGGAUUCAUUCCCUCUGUCGCAUGACUGGAAUGGCCAGUGACAUCUGCCAAGCUCCCAGAAAAAGAAAGAGCCAUAGCCCUGCUGACAUGCCUUCUGUCCUAUGGAUACAGAACGAAUGCCCAGUGUUCCAAAGACUGCUUAUUCUUCACCAGAACACAAUGGAAAAGCAGAUGGAGGUCGAAAUUGAAUUGCUGCUGACUGUUGUCCCUUGUUAUGGCCUGUGGAGAUAUGACAAUUGAGGAAGAACUUAGAGGAAUGCCAAGUAGCAGAGCAUGAAGCAGUGGGUGUGACCCACUGCCUUGGACAUUUUAUGGCUGAUAGCAUUUGGCAAGAAAAAUCCUGCAGCCUCUAUAGUAGUCUUGCAAAUAGAUCUCAACAUUAACCAUGCCCUCACCUAUAUUUGAUUUGCCCUGUAACAUAUGCAUUUGCCAAAAUCCAGUCUUCUAAUUGUCAGCUAACUCCCUAGUCCCCUCACAAAAUACCUAAAAUAAAUGAAUAAAUCAUG